UCUGCCCACAACCUGCUUGCCACUGUCACCCAACCACUUGCAGUAGCAGGCCAACUCUUUCCCUUGAAGAAGCUCAGCCUGGCAGAUAAGGACUGAGAGCAAGAGGAAGAUCUUCCAGGAGUUUUCAGAGUCCACUAAAUCUAAAGAACCUGCCACCUGCAUGAAACAUGAACUGCAUGGAAGACGAGCGAAAACUGCAGCUGUGCUCCAUGUUUCCAAUUGAAUACCAUGACAUUUGGCAGGUGUACCAGAAAGCCAAGGUUUCCUAUUAGACAAUUGAGGAGGUAGAUUUCUCCCAGGACAUUGAGCACUGGAAGCCCUGAAGCUUGUGGAGAGAGAUUUUAUAUCACAGGCUCUGGCUUCAUGGCAGUAAGUGAUGGAGCUGGACUUGGUGAGCUGAUUUAGUAAAACAGGACACGUUACAGAAGCACAGUGUUUCUAAGGUUUCCCAGGUAAUGCGGACAACGUGUAUGCUGAAAUGUUAAUAUUUACACAAAAGAUUCCAAAAAGGAGGCCUCUCUCUUCAAUGCCAUCGAAAUAAUGCCCUGUGUAAAGAAGAAGGCAGAGAAGCUGCUCAUGGAGAAUGGCUCUUUCAGCAGUAGAGGAGACCUCUUUUGGUGGUUUUGCAUAGACAUUCUGUCUCAAGAAAUGAGGAUAAAGACCUGGGAUCAUAGUAGCCAACGAAAUUACUAGCAGAGGCCAGGCGAAGUUGACACUGUGACUUUACCUGUCUCAUAUUUGAACACCUGUUAUACAAACCUUCAGAGUGAAAACUAAAUGAAAUAAUGAUCAGUGCUAUUAGGCAUUGAACAAAAGCUCCUGAGGCCUGCUGUGAGGCUUAUUAGAAUGAACUGCACUUUAAUGAGUCAGCAUAUGGAAUUCGUAGCAAAUAGACAUGAUGGAACUGGGUUUUAGCAAAGAUUUGGAGUAGAAAAGCCAUUUGACGUG
rnacentral:lncRNA from 1 species